rnacentral:rRNA from 1 species
AAUAGAUACCCAGGUAGUCCAUGCCGUAAACGUUGGGCACUAGGUGUGGGGCUCAUUCCACGAGUUCCGUGCCGCAGCAAACGCAUUAAGUGCCCCGCCUGGGGAGUACGGCCGCAAGGCUAAAACUCAAAGGAAUUGACGGGGGCCCGCACAAGCGGCGGAGCAUGCGGAUUAAUUCGAUGCAACGCGAAGAACCUUACCAAGGCUUGACAUGCACGGGAAGCCACCAGAGAUGGUGGUCUCUUUGGACACUCGUGCACAGGUGGUGCAUGGUUGUCGUCAGCUCGUGUCGUGAGAUGUUGGGUUAAGUCCCGCAACGAGCGCAACCCUCGUCCCAUGUUGCCAGCGGGUUAUGCCGGGGACUCAUGGGAGACUGCCGGGGUCAACUCGGAGGAAGGUGGGGAUGACGUCAAAUCAUCAUGCCCCUUAUGUCUUGGGCUUCACGCAUGCUACAAUGGCCGGUACAAAGGGCUGCGAUGUCGUAAGGUGGAGCGAAUCCCAAAAAGCCGGUCUCAGUUCGGAGUU